rnacentral:rRNA from 1 species
GACGAACGCUGGCGGCGUGCUUAACACAUGCCAGUCGAACGGAAAGGCCCUGCUUUUGUGGGGUGCUCGAGUGGCGAACGGGUGAGUAACACGUGAGUAACCUGCCCUUGACUUUGGGAUAACUUCAGGAAACUGGGGCUAAUACCGGAUAGGAGCUCCUGCUGCAUGGUGGGGGUUGGAAAGUUUCGGCGGUUGGGGAUGGACUCGCGGCUUAUCAGCUUGUUGGUGGGGUAGUGGCUUACCAAGGCUUUGACGGGUAGCCGGCCUGGGAGGGUGACCGGCCACAUUGGGACUGCGAUACGGCCCAGACUCCUACGGGAGGCAGCAGUGGGGAAUAUUGCACAAUGGGCGGAAGCCUGAUGCAGCAACGCCGCGUGCGGGAUGACGGCCUUCGGGUUGUAAACCGCUUUCGCCUGUGACGAAGCGUGAGUGACGGUAAUGGGUAAAGAAGCACCGGCUAACUACGUG